GAUUAUAUAGUCUAUAAAGGACACUAAAUUGCAAGUUUAGAGGAAAAUAGGGAUAAUUUUAUAAUCU
rnacentral:tRNA from 1 species